rnacentral:rRNA from 1 species
UACGGGGGGAGCAAGCGUUGUUCGGAUUUACUGGGCGUAAAGGGCGCGUAGGCGGUCGUGACAAGUCACUUGUGAAAUCUCCGGGCUUAACCCGGAACGGGCAAGUGAUACUGUCGGACUAGAGUACAGAAGGGGCAACUGGAAUUCUCGGUGUAGCGGUGAAAUGCGUAGAUAUCGAGAGGAACACCUGCGGCGAAGGCGGGUUGCUGGGCUGAUACUGACGCUGAGGCGCGAAAGCCAGGGGAGCGAACGGG